rnacentral:tRNA from 1 species
CAGAAGAUAGUUAAAAUUAUAACAUUUCACUUACACUGAAAAAUCCCCCGUUAAAUCGAGCUCUUUUGA